rnacentral:rRNA from 1 species
AAUAGCCGCAACUCGUGCUAAGGUAGCAUAAUCAUUUGUCUUUUAAAUGAAGACUAGAACAAAAGAUUUAACAUUUCAAUUUAUUUAUUUAAUCUCUAAUUUUAAAUUAUUUUAAAUGUAAAAAAACAUUUAUAAAACAGAAAGACGACAAGACCCUAUUGAACUUUACUUAAGUUAAACUGGGGCAGUCAAUUAAUUAUAAUUUUAAUACUUCAAUAUAUCUAAAUAUCCAGUACAACUGAAUCAUUAAGUUACCAUAGGGAUAACAGCGCAAUUAUUUUUUAAAGUUCUUAUAUAAAAAAUAGAUUACGACCUCGAUGUUGAAUUAAUUACCUAUUUUAAGCAAAUUUUUAAAAAGGAAGUCUGUUCGACUUUUAAAUUAUUACAUGAUUUGAGUUCAGACCGGUGUAAGCCAGGUCGGUUUCUAUCUUCUAUAAAGUUUCUUACAGUACGAAAGGGCCUAAGAAUAUAAUUUAAUUAUUUAAUUGGCAGAAAAAUGCAUUAGAAUUAGAAUCUAAAAAAACUUAU